rnacentral:lncRNA from 1 species
UGUAUAGGAUAUAUAUCCCUUGUAUACUAUAGAUAUAUAUGUAUUAUAUGAACAUGUUUGUUCAACUAUAUUUUGUAAUGCUUUUAUAACAACUCACUAUGAUUCUUUUAUAUAUAUUGUACUAAUAUAUAUAUUUUUGUCUUCUAUAAAUUUCAAGUGAAUCCUUUAACAUCUUUGUUUUGUUUUUUCUCUUUUUACAUUUUUAACAUUACCUUUUAAUAUUGAUUACAAUAAAAUUUUUAUUUUCAUGUUUUGUUGCAUUCAUAUAUUACAUUGCUAUUGUUACUAUUAUUAUUAUCACUAUUAUUAACACUAUUAUUAUUAUCACUAUUAUUACAAUUAUUAUUAUUAUGUAGAGUUUUUAAAAUUUUGCCUUUUUUUUUUUUUUUUUUUUUUUUGCAUUUUAAAGCUGUUCAAGUAGAUUAGCCUAUCAUUUUUUGAUUAGAGACAAAUGCAGUAUUAAAAGGGAAACAAAACAAAACAAAACAAAUAAACAAAUAAACAAAUAAACAAACAAAUAAACAAAUAAACAAAUAAACAAACAAACAAAUAAACAAACAAACAAAACAAACGGAAUAUACAUAAUAAUGCGGAAUAUAAUCAACAGUAAAAAUGUCUGACUCUGCGUAUGGAUUUAUGGAAAAUGUAGUACACAUAACAGGGUAUCUACAUCGUUUGUUAUUUCUUAUGAUAGAACUUGAUAAAAAAGGACAUAAUAUGAAUAAGACUAUACAAAAAAAAGAAGAAAUUUAUAUUGAUAAUUUAAAUUGUAUUCGUAAAGGAAAAACUUCAAAAUAUCAUAAACGUAGUUAUGAUAAAAAAAGAAACGAAUCAAAACUUCACAAAAGGAGUUCAAAUAAGUACAAUGAAGGAAAUAAUAAUUACAACAACGGGUCAAACGAAUAUAAUAAUAUAAAUACUAAAAAUAAUGAUAUAAAUAAUUUUGAAAAAAAUAAUAUAACAAACAAAUUAAUGUAUAAUGAAGGUUUAUUUGAAAAUACACCAACUUUAAAAAUACGUGUACGUUCUAGUAAAGAUAUGGUAGAUAAUAAUAUUAUUAUGGCUAAUAAUGAAAACACAAAAUACGAAAAUUUAAUGACACCAUAUAUAAAUAAUAAUAACAAUAACAAUAAUAAUAAUAAUAAUAAUAAUAUAUCAGAAGAAAAUGCAAAUAAUAUCAACCUAAAUGAUAACAAUAAAAUUAAUAUUACAAAACCGAAUACCAACAUAUACGGUGAAUGUAGUAAUGAAUUUUAUUAUAUAGAAAAUAAAAAAACCGAAUGUGAAUUUAUCAACAAUGACAACAAUAAUAACAACAACAAUGACAACAAUAAUAACANNNNNNNNNNCAAUGACAACAAUAAUAACAACAACAAUGACAACAAUAAUAACAACAGUAAUAACAAUGUUAGUAAUCCGAAUAAACAAAAUAAUGCGAACUUAAAAGAUUUUAAUCUUAUUUCUACUCAAAAUGAGAAAAUCGAAAAAAGGGAAUUGAUAAACAACAGUACUAUAAUUACUGGUGAUAUUUCUAACAUGACUUUAAACCAAAAUAGUAAUACAACAAAACAAGAACAAAUAAAUAUAGAUGAAAAUAAUAUAAAAAAUAGUAUAGAAAAUAAGAUUAUUUCAUUAUUAACAGAAAAAAAUUUGGAAAUUUAUAAUAAAAAUAUUAAGUUAACAAAAGAAAUAAAUAAAAAUAUAAACAAAGAAAAUAUUGUUACUGAUGUAUUAUCACCACAAACAUCUAUACAACUUAAAUUAAAAAAUGAAUAUAUAAAAGAGAUAAAUAUAGAAAAAGAGGAAAACAAAAAUGACCAUAUAAAACAAUGUCCAGUAGUAUAUACAGAGCAAGAAUUAAAUACAUGUUAUAAUGAUAUAGUAAAUGAUAGAGAACAAUGUAUUGCUUUAUUAAGAGAAAAGAUUUGUAUAAAUAAUCAAAUAUCACAUAUGAUUAAAAACUAUUAUGAAAAAUUAAAAAAACAAUAUGAUCAAUUAUAUACAGAAAUGGAAAUGAAUGGAGAAUCACCUCUUAACUUAUACAAUUUAAAUAAAAAUAAAUAUUUUUAUUCCGAAUAUGAUGAUUAUUAUUAUAAUAAUAAUAAUAAUAACAUUGAAAACGAUUAUAUUAACAAUAACAAUAUUAAUAACAAUAUUAAUAACAAUAACAAUAUUAAUAAUAGCUAUAAUAACAGUAAUGUAAAAAAUAAAAAUGAAAACUUACGUAGAGCUAAGAGUACUGUUAGUUACGCAAAUACAAAUUACACAUACGAUAUAUACGACUAUGAUAAAUUUAAAGACGAAUAUGAUGAUGAUGAUGAUAGUUAUGUAGUUAAUAAAACACAUGGAAGAAAACAUUCCAUUAAAUAUGAUGAAGAAUAUAAUCCUUAUAGUGUAGACAGAAGUAAAAAAAAUAAAAAAAUAAAAAAAAGUAAAAGUUUAAGUCAUGUUAAUAAUAACACAAGUAAAUAUUUAAAAAUGAUAAAUGAAAAAACUAAUAUUAGUAACAAUACUAUAAUUAAUAAAGAUGCUAAUAUAGAUAAUAAUAAAUAUGUCAAUAAUGUUAAUAAUGUUAAUAAUAAAGAUAUUUAUAACACAACUAAUCAAAAUGAAAAUAUAAAAAAUGUCAACUACAUACAUAAAGUACGAAUAAAUAUACAAUCGGUCAAACACAAAUUUAACAAAAAUACUCCCAUCGAAUUAAAUAACGAAAAAAAUAUUAACAAUAUAAAACAAAAUAAAGAUGACCAUUCAUAUAAUAUGCACAUUAACGAUGGUCUAUUAAAUCUAUCUAAUGAAUGUGAUUUAUUGAACAAAACGGAUGAUCAAAAAAAANNNNNNNNNNNNNNNNNNNNNNNNNNNNNNNNNNNNNNNNNNNNNNNNNNNNNNNNNNNNNNNNNNNNNNNNNNNNNNNNNNNNNNNNNNNNNNNNNNNNAUAAAAAAAAAAAAAAAAAAAAAAAAAAAAAAAAAAAAAACGAAAAAAAGUGAAAUAAAAAGAAAGAGGAAAUGAUAUAAAAAGGGAAA